ACGGCGAGUGAAGCGGGACUAGCUCAGGAUGUGAAUCUGCGCUUUUAUGGCGCCGAAUUGUGGUCUGUAGACUUUGACAUUAUUUGCCGGGCCAAGUUCCUUGGAAAAGGACAGCUGAGAGGGUGACACUCCCGUCCGCCUGGUAAAGUGAGUCAUUUGUCAACGAGUCGAGUUGUUUGGGAUUGCAGCUCUAAUUUGGUGGUAAAUUCCAUCUAAAGCUAAAUAUUGGUGGGAGACCGAUAGCGUACAAGUACCGUGAGGGAAAGAUGCAAAGAACUUUGAAAAGAGAGUUAAAGAGUACCUGAAACUGCUGAAACGGAAGCGAAGGAAACCAGUGUUUGUUUGUUCAUAUUUCCCUGGCCACUUGUGGUCUGGGCGCUGUGGACUUGCGUGAGUUUGGGUUGGUUGAUCCCUUUGGAAGAGCGCAGUCAGAGUUGAUGUCUGUUGCUAGC
rnacentral:rRNA from 1 species